AAUUUGGUUGGAUAAGAAUUAAAGGUAUUGGACUAUGUAUAGCUCAAGUGUGGCCAAUAGGAAUUAGUUAGAAACCCAAGCAAUACAUUAAAGGAAUGGCUCAAUUUUUAGCCCAAGUGGGAGAGGAAUUUUUGGACAUUUGAUAAAUCAAAUAAGCAUUAAAUCAAAGAGCCAAACUUGGUAAGAAUUUGGCCAAGUGGCCGGCUAUUGAAUGAGGAAAGAAAGAGGGGAAACACAUGGUUAAAUCAUUAGGCAACAUUUGGUUA
rnacentral:lncRNA from 1 species